rnacentral:rRNA from 1 species
UACGGAGGAUGCGAGCGUUAUCCGGAUUUAUUGGGUUUAAAGGGUGCGUAGGCGGACUGUCAAGUCAGCGGUAAAAUUGAGAGGCUCAACCUCUUCCCGCCGUUGAAACUGGUGGUCUUGAGUGGAUGAGAAGUACGCGGAAUGCGUGGUGUAGCGGUGAAAUGCAUAGAUAUCACGCAGAACUCCGAUUGCGAAGGCAGCGUACCGGCGCCCUACUGACGCUGAAGCACGAAGGCGUGGGUAUCGAACGGG